UUCAAAUCUCCGCUGUCCCUAAAAGACAAACUUUUUGUAGGAGCCCUACCGGGAAUUCUAUUUCAAUCUCCUUUAGCUAUUUGCCGUCAAUUUCCUUCA